rnacentral:rRNA from 1 species
GAGUUUGAUCAUGGCUCAGGACGAACGCUGGCGGCGUGCCUAAUACAUGCAAGUCGAGCGAAGUUUUUCUGGUGCUUGCACUAGAAAAACUUAGCGGCGAACGGGUGAGUAACACGUAAAGAACCUGCCUCAUAGACUGGGACAACUAUUGGAAACGAUAGCUAAUACCGGAUAACAGUAUUUCUCGCAUGAGAGAUAUUUAAAAGUUGGUUAUGCUAACACUAUGAGAUGGCUUUGCGGUGCAUUAGCUAGUUGGUGGGGUAAAGGCCCACCAAGGCGACGAUGCAUAGCCGACCUGAGAGGGUGAUCGGCCACACUGGGACUGAGAUACGGCCCAGACUCCUACGGGAGGCAGCAGUGGGGGAUAUUGCACAAUGGGCGCAAGCCUGAUGCAGCGACGCCGCGUGGGGGAUGACGGCUUUCGGGUUGUAAACCUCUUUCGUCGGGGGACAAGGCUCUGCUUGGUGGUGGGGUUGAGGGUACCCGGUGAAGAAGCGCCGGCUAACUACGUGCCAGCAGCCGCGGUAAUACGUAGGGCGCGAGCGUUGUCCGGAAUUAUUGGGCGUAAAGGGCUCGUAGGCGGCUUGUCGCGUCUGCUGUGAAAAUGCGGGGCUUAACUCCGUACGUGCAGUGGGUACGGGCAGGCUAGAGUGCGGUAGGGGUGACUGGAAUUCCUGGUGUAGCGGUGGAAUGCGCAGAUAUCAGGAGGAACACCGAUGGCGAAGGCAGGUCACUGGGCUGUUACUGACGCUGAGGAGCGAAAGCGUGGGGAGCGAACAGGAUUAGAUACCCUGGUAGUCCAUGCUGUAAACGUUGGGAACUAGGUGUGGGGUUCUUUCCACGGAUUCUGCGCCGGAGCUAACGCAUUAAGUUCCCCGCCUGGGGAGUACGGCCGCAAGGCUAAAACUCAAAGGAAUUGACGGGGGCCCGCACAAGCGGCGGAGCAUGCGGAUUAAUUCGAUGCAACGCGAAGAACCUUACCAAGGCUUGACAUACGCUGGGACGGUGCAGAGAUGUGCUGGCUUUUGCUGGUGUACAGGUGGUGCAUGGUUGUCGUCAGCUCGUGUCGUGAGAUGUUGGGUUAAGUCCCGCAACGAGCGCAACCCUUGUCUCGUGUUGCCAGCAGGUUGGGCUGGGGACUCACGGGAGACUGCCGGGGUUAACUCGGAGGAAGGUGGGGAUGACGUCAAAUCAUCAUGCCCCUUAUGUCUUGGGCUUCACGCAUGCUACAAUGGCCGGUACAGAGGGUUGCGAUAUCGUGAGGUGGAGCGAAUCCCUUAAAGUCGGUCUCAGUUCGGAUCGGGGUCUGCAACUCGACCCCGUGAAGUCGGAGUCGCUAGUAAUCGCGGAUCAGCAACGCCGCGGUGAAUACGUUCUCGGGCCUUGUACACACCGCCCGUC